CCGCCCCGUCAGUGACACUCUGGCUGGGAACUACGCUUUUAUAUAUAACGAUGGCUAAAAGUCUAAAAGUCUACAUGCGAUUUGGGAGGAGACGCGUGCUAUAAGAUUGUUCAGAGACCUUCAGUAAUGUUCUACACUACUAGAUCACUGCAAUGCACGAGGCGUAAAUGUGGCCGUAUUUACGCUGAUGACAGAUGUCUUGGCAUAAUUCAUUGGGAAAUGUAUACAGCCCAAUGAUUCCGGUAAUAAUUCGCUGAGUGGCACUGUUGAGCUCGCCUGGCAAAUAAAAUAUUUUCAUUGAACCUCCAUGAGCCUACAUUACGCUGUUCAACUCGUUCAAGUUCAGUAAUAGUUCUAAAGCUAUAUUAUCCCGAUUAGCAUAUCACUUUCUUUGAAAACUGUGUUACACGUAGCGUAGAUAGACCUCUGCUCCCACUCGAAUGACUGCAUUAAGGAGGAGGGAGUGAAAUUGGAGAAAUAGCCUAGUGCAACGUGAUUUUUUUUUUUUUUUUUAACUUUACUAAAAGGGAGUGGUAUACAAGGUUAGGCAAACGAAACCAAUAUUGGAAGAGGAGGCCCAGGCGUUCAUUUCGGUCCGAUUUGAACCGACUACUGCCGCUGCAAUAGAGCUACUCUAUAGCUGAGGAGCAGGUUUACUUUUCCCAUUCACCAUACGGCAUGUGCUGAUACUUACCAUAAUUGAUUCUAAUUAUAUUUUCAGUUUGGACUUCCUGUAAUUACUCUGAAAUAUAAGUGAAACACGUAUCGAUUACAGCAUCAUCUACAGGAAAAAUGUUAACGAUAAACGACAAUUUAACCCACAUGCUCUCGUAAUGCUUAUGAGAGAGAGGCUUCAGAUUCCCGUCUAAGGAAACAUAAAAUCUCCCGGUAAAAGCAAGCUGUCCAUUCCGAGUGGAUUAUCGAAAAAGAGGGUAUUCUACAAAAGAGCGACAUGAGUUGGUGAUCGCGAGAAUAAAAUGCAUUUUUUAAGGAGCGCUCUUAACGCGUUUCUAAUUAAAGACAUGCCGGGGUAAUCCACAUGGGACAAGUCCUUACGUCUGCAACAGAGAAUAAAAAGUCUGGGAACCCAUGCCGGAUGAGACAAACUCCAUCAAGAGACGCAGCGGAGAAAAAGUUCUUCACGGACUCUCAUUAUUUUCCACCCACUUUUAAGUCGGUACAAUCAACAGAUGACUGAGUUUCAUCCAUUAUACACAUAUAAGAACCUGCUCCUCCGUCUGUCAUGCUGCACUAGCUCUUGGAAGUAACCUACCUGGGGAACGGCGACGCCAACAGAAUCUGUUUAGUUUGAACCGCAUUAACUUUUAUAAUCCUCGAACACGCAGGGAGGCCAGCUAAACAAGCGUGACAGUUUCGCAACAGGAAAAACACAGGCUAUAAGAGAAGACGCGGGACGGAGGGUCUCGCCUUGCUCACUUCUCAGUAGCGAUGAGCGCCCUGCGCACACCUGUCUUGAUUGGACUCCUACUGUUGAUUUUCACCGCCGGAUACUGCAAGCAGAGCGCCGUUCCCACGGGCGUCCGAGACGGCCGGAGCCUCCUGGAGCUCAUCAUGGACAAAGUACGAGUAGCACGGGCGCAUCAUAUGGAGGACAGCGAGAGCAGUGUGCAGCAUGCAUCCAAAAAACAAGAAUAUUCCAUCGAGACGAAGGAAGUGAAUGAAGUCAACAAGUCACAACACAAUGAACAGAUUUUGGAAGUUUUUCCAAGAGAUCUUAGACAGAAGGAUAAACUUUUGAAACACUUAACAGGGCCUCUCUACUUCAGCCCAAAGUGUAACAAACUCUUUUAUAGAUUAUAUCAUAAUACCAGAGACUGCACAAUACCUGCCUAUUUUAAAAGAUGUGCACGGCUACUUAUCAGGUUAGCAGGGAGUCCACAAUGUACUGAGGGAUAGAUGCAACAGAUUUCAGCAGAAGAGAAGAAAUAAAAGAGAACCAAGAAAAAAAGUGCCUUGGACAAAAACAAUGAAAUCAGACGAACUCGACAGAAUCGUAUUUGUCUUUGUGAAGAAGUUUUUUUUUUUUUUUUGCAACAAAGCGGAUUAAUGUCCAUAGACUUUCUCAAUACGGUCAAUGUUUGUCCACUGACAAGUCGUGAUAUCACCAGUGAUCUCUCUGUUAAUGCAAAAUGGUGCAAAUGAAGAUAUGUAAGUUGUCUCACACGGGGGGAAAAAGACGAGAAGAGCUAAAUUUUAUGUCCUGCUGCCAAAAAAGACAAGUUAUAUGGAUGGUACUAAGAACAGUAUGCUCCAUCGACUUGCCUUCUUAGAGCUCUUUCUCCGUGUUUCAUGUAUGCUCAGCGCUGACGGCUAUUCCUUUGCUAAAGAAGGCUUCUCGAUCCAUAUUCCCAACGACUUCAGUCACAUUCCUCAAAGCCAGAAGUAAAUCCUAUGAUUGAAUUAUGAAUUGCACGAUUAUCUCUUGCCUUUUCUUGGACUUUGCAAGACAUUUUAAAUAGAGUUGAGUUAGGAAUAGCUGGUUGCAGUUUAUAUUGAGAGAAGAAAAUCAACGUUGUCCUGAAUAUGAAUGUUAUAUAAUAUAUAUAUUUAUAUAUUCAAGCUAUUGUCUGUUGUUUCUGCACAUUAAAUAUAUGAAAUCCCUGAUAGAGUGCAAUAUGUAAAUAUUGUAAAUACCAAGACUAUAUAUAAAGUGUUUGUAUACAGUAUACAAAUACUAUAUAUACUAUAUAUAUAUAAAUACAUAGUAUAGUAUAAGAUCUUUAAAUAAACAUGUUUUUUUAUAUUGGAUGGUUGCUGAAGUAUGAGUGCUUAAGUUAAGUGUAUUUAAAUAAAUAGAGAGGUUACAAAGACAGCCACUCUAUUCCAUCUGGAUAAACUAAAGAAAAACAAUAUGUGUACUUUGUGUGGCUUUCAGUGGCACCAUGUGUAUGUUUGGCUCUGGAAUUACAUAGUGUGGGAAAUUAUGACAGUUUGGUGAGCACGUACCACUCAUAAAUAUUGUGUAUUUUGGCAACCAGUGUUCAAGGGCACUGAAGAAUGCAGUAUGAAAGCUGUACACAGCUUUGGGUCACAUUUUUCACUGAAUGAUCAGAAAGCCACCAUGCGUUGCAUGAGUUGUUCCCUGAUGAGCUUAUCCAUCUCAAUCAUAUCCUUUUUACAGCCGAAGAAGGGAGAUCAAGCUGUUCACUGUCGGUGAAGAGUUACUGAUUAUCUCUUCUCUGAAGUUUCCACAAAGUGAUUACUAUAGACAUGUUGAAGCACAAGAUAGGGAUCUUAACUGAUUUCUUUUUUUUUUUUAAAGUCAGAGCAUGACAAUGUGGUUUUGAGUUGACACCUUGCGGAUCAUAAAUGAUUUAAAGAUCCGACGCUUGUGAUUUAAAACAGGCCUUCUUUUCGAACUGCAUCCCACCGGAGGCAAUUGAGGAUGUUUUUGACCAAUGCCAUCCUCAAAACUACUCAGUGGUGAUAAUUCGAGGAUGAGGAAAGGGCACUCGUGUACUCCGACGCUGAUCGGCAAUCAGUCCGGACUCUCUGGAUCCUAGGGAAAAUAAGUGUUCUGGAAAGCCACAAAUAUAGCCCAGCUCCGGCCGCUGCCAAAGGAAAACGUGCUGCCUGCCCAGUGUUACACGUUCUCUGGUUUCCUCACGAGGAGCGCGACACAGAGAAGCCUAUUAUGAGCAGGCGUGGAGCCCCUAGCCCCCAGCACCUUCAGAGCUGUUCGUGUGCUAUGCGUCCAGGCAUGCCACAAUAACACUCCCUCCCUCACAAAAGUUUAUAGCAAUUCCUCAAUCAGGAGUCAGCCACAAAAGUAAAGCCUCAAAACAAACAUGCAAUUAUCCCCCGCUAGAAGGUAAAAAAAGAAAAGGGGAAAGCAAAAAAAAAAAAAGAAAAA